rnacentral:rRNA from 1 species
GAAACAAUAGCUAAUACCGGAUAUAGUUAUUUAUCGCAUGAUGAGUAAUAGAAAGGAGCUUCACAGCUUCACUUAAAAAUGGGGGUGCGGAACAUUAGUUAGUUGGUAGGGUAAUGGCCUACCAAGACGAUGAUGUUUAGCCGGGCCGAGAGGCUGUACGGCCACACUGGGACUGAGAUACGGCCCAGACUCCUACGGGAGGCAGCAGUAAGGAAUUUUCCACAAUGAGCGAAAGCUUGAUGGAGCGACACAGCGUGCAGGAUGAAGUUCUUCGGAAUGUAAACUGCUGUUAUAAGGGAAGAAAAAAUAGAAUAGGAAAUGAUUUUAUCUUGACGGUACCUUAUUAGAAAGCGACGGCAAACUAUGUGCCAGCAGCCGCGGUAAUACAUAGGUCGCAAGCGUUAUCCGGAAUUAUUGGGCGUAAAGCGUCCGUAGGUUUUUUGCUAAGUCUGGAGUUAAAUGCUGAAGCUCAACUUCAGUCCGCUUUGGAUACUGGCAAAAUAGAAUUAUAAAGAGGUUAGCGGAAUUCCUAGUGAAGCGGUGGAAUGCGUAGAUAUUAGGAAGAACACCAAUAGGCGAAGGCAGCUAACUGGUUAUAUAUUGACACUAAGGGACGAAAGCGUGGGGAGCAAACAGGAUUAGAUACCCUGGUAGUCCACGCCGUAAACGAUGAUCAUUAGUUGGUGGAAUAAUUUCACUAACGCAGCUAACGCGUUAAAUGAUCCGCCUGAAUAGUAUGCUCGCAAGAGUGAAACUUAAAGGAAUUGACGGGAACCCGCACAAGCGGUGGAGCAUGUGGUUUAAUUUGAAGAUACGCGUAGAACCUUACCCACUCUUGACAUCUUCUGCAAAGCUAUAGAGAUAUAGUGGAGGUUAACAGAAUGACAGAUGGUGCAUGGUUGUCGUCAGCUCGUGUCGUGAGAUGUUAGGUUAAGUCCUGCAACGAGCGCAACCCUUUUCUUUAGUUACUAAUAUUAAGUUAAGGACUCUAGAGAUACUGCCUGGGUAACCAGGAGGAAGGUGGGGACGACGUCAAAUCAUCAUGCCUCUUACGAGUGGGGCAACACACGUGCUACAAUGGUCGGUACAAAGAGAAGCAAUAUGGUGACAUGGAGCAAAUCUCAAAAAACCGAUCUCAGUUCGGAUUGAAGUCUGCAACUCGACUUCAUGAAGUCGGAAUCGCUAGUAAUCGUAGAUCAGCUACGCUACGGUGAAUACGUUCUCGGGUUUUGUACACACCGCCCGUCACACCAUGGGAGUUGGUAAUGCCCAAAGUCGGUGAGUUAACUUCGGAGACCAUUGCCUAAGGCAGGACUGAUGACUGGGGUGAAGUCGUAACAAGGUAU